AUGGCCGCAGUCGUGAGCUGGUACGGUCCGCUGAUCGACCUGUCGGCGGCCGCCGGCCACGUCGGUGGAUUCGUACAGCUCCUGGCGUCCGUUCGCCGUGUCCUUCCCCACCAGGAGCAAAAUGCUGCAACCGGAAGGACGUAUCACAGAGUUAUUCUGGAGGUUGGUGAUGACACGAGGUCGAGCUUCUCCGUCUCUCUAUGGUCCAACACUACUAGCUCGACGAUAAUCGCUGGCGAUGUUUUACUGUUGCAGAAUAUUAAGAUAGUAGAGUUUAGAAAUGGCUUGGAGGGAAGGGCUGCUCAGAUGUCUGCAGUCCAAAUUUUGAUGAACUCUAAAGAUUUAGUGCAAUCCGAAGGAAUUGAUGAAUUCAUAAUUAAUUGUAAAGUCGGCAAUGCUACAAGAUCAAAAUUAAGACGAGUGUCAGAGUGGAUCGUACACACCAAACGUACUCAUGCGGAAAAUCAUCAGCAGGUGAUAUCGAAGAAUUGGAAAGAAAGAAUGAAAAAUGAUUCGGCAGACUUCUUUUCCAUCUCAGAACUACUACCUCAGAGCAAACCAUGUAAUUUGAAUAUUUCUGCAUCUAUUAGCAAAAUUGUGUUAAUGGGUUCUCUUGGCCCUGAAACGAAGGGGCAAUUGUCAGUCAUUGAGAAACAUACCUUGAAUGGACAUAAUGAUAUCAUCAGAGAUUUUAUUGCUGCUGGAUGCAAGUUAUGUGGUUUACCUCUAUACCAAAAAAAUCUUCAUGGAGACAGUACUUAUCCAAUUGAUUGCCCAGAUAAUCCAAAGUAUCUCCAUGUUGUUGGCCAGAUAUAUAAACCAUUCAUGAUGUAUGUGCAAGACCAAACUGGACAAGUUCCUGUGCUUGUGAAGAAUAAAGUUGCAGAGGCUCUAUUUUCUAAUAUUAACGCAGAUGAUGUGUCCGAAUGCUACAAGAGCCGGCACUGCAUGCUGGUAGAUACUUGUGAAUCUGGCCAGUCAAGCAUUUCUGGGAUGCUAGAUGGCACUGGCAAGACAGGCACUGCUAAAAGGAAGAGAACCAAAAGAAAGCUUGAUUUUCAUCUUAUCUGGCUCAUUGUUAUGAAAUGCCUGCUGAACCAAGGCAAGAACAGUCCAUUCUGCAUCCAGAUUUCAGUCAACCCCGGGAAAAAUGUUGAGGAUGGACGGUUUGAACUGGUUUCUUUGACAAUGCCAAUACCAUGA
rnacentral:rRNA from 1 species